rnacentral:rRNA from 1 species
UGGGGAAUAUUGCACAAUGGGCGCAAGCCUGAUGCAGCCAUGCCGCGUGUAUGAAGAAGGCCUUCGGGUUGUAAAGUACUUUCAGUCGGGAGGAAGGUGUCAAAGUUAAUACCUUUGCUCAUUGACGUUACCCGCAGAAGAAGCGCCGGCUAACUCCGUGCCAGCAGCCGCGGUAAUACGGAGGGUGCAAGCGUUAAUCGGAAUUACUGGGCGUAAAGCGCACGCAGGCGGUUUGUUAAGUCAGAUGUGAAAUCCCCGGGCUCAACCUGGGAACUGCAUCUGAUACUGGCAAGCUUGAGUCUCGUAGAGGGGGGUAGAAUUCCAGGUGUAGCGGUGAAAUGCGUAGAGAUCUGGAGGAAUACCGGUGGCGAAGGCGGCCCCCUGGACAAAGACUGACGCUCAGGUGCGAAAGCGUGGGGAGCAAACAGG